rnacentral:rRNA from 1 species
GGGGAAUUUUGGACAAUGGGGGCAACCCUGAUCCAGCCAUGCCGCGUGCGGGAAGAAGGCCUUCGGGUUGUAAACCGCUUUCGGACAGAAAGAAAUCGCCAUCUCUAACAUAGGUGGUGGAUGACGGUACUGUAAGAAGAAGCACCGGCUAACUACGUGCCAGCAGCCGCGGUAAUACGUAGGGUGCGAGCGUUAAUCGGAAUUACUGGGCGUAAAGCGUGCGCAGGCGGAUAUUUAAGUCAGAUGUGAAAUCCCCGGGCUUAACCUGGGAAUUGCAUUUGAAACUGGAUGUCUAGAGUGCGUCAGAGGGUGGUGGAAUUCCACGUGUAGCAGUGAAGUGCGUAGAGAUGUGGAGGAACACCGAUGGCGAAGGCAGCCCCCUGGGAUGACACUGACGCUCAUGCACGAAAGCGUGGGGAGCAAACA